rnacentral:rRNA from 1 species
CCUACGGGAGGCUGCAGUGAGGAAUAUUGGUCAAUGGGCGCGAGCCUGAACCAGCCAAGUAGCGUGAGGGAGGACGGCCCUACGGGUUGUAAACCUCUUUUGCCGGGGAGCAACGGGCGUCACGUGUGGCGCCACUGAGAGUACCCGGAGAAAAAGCAUCGGCUAACUCCGUGCCAGCAGCCGCGGUAAUACGGGGGAUGCGAGCGUUAUCCGGAUUUAUUGGGUUUAAAGGGUGCGUAGGCGGAUCGUUAAGUCAGUGGUCAAAUUGAGGGGCUCAACCCCUUCCCGCCAUUGAAACUGGCGGUGGGGAGUGGAAGAGAGGUAUGCGGAAUGGGGGGGGUAGCGGUGAAAUGCGUAGAUAUGACGCAGAACCCCGGUGGGGAAGGCAGCAUGGCGGCUUCCGACUGACGCUGAAGCACGAAAGCGUGGGGAUCGAACAGGAUUAGAUACCCGUGUAGUC